GGAUCUUCAAUUAGACGGAUACUUUAAUUCAAGGGUGUAUGAAAUCUACCCCAAUGGAACCAUCACCAGUCCUGUCCAGGCAUACUGCGAUAUGACCACAAUGGGCGGGGGAUGGACGGCAAUCCAAAAACGAAUUACUGGAUCCCUGGACUUUAACAGGAACUGGACGGAAUAUAAAAAUGGUUUCGGUCCACCGGAAUAGGAUGUCUGUAUUGGAAAUGACGUAAUCCAUCAAUUAACAAAAGAAAACAACCCGGCCCUUUAUGUGUCCAUCACUCUCCAGAAUGGUACAACGCUUUAUGAAAUGUACGACCGAUUCUCUGUCUCCGACGAAGCAGGAAAAUAUCAACUCUUUCUUGCAGGACCUGCCACGGGAACUUUAGGUGACGCUAUGUUAGACACAGCUUAUUCUUCCUUCAGUCUGUCUGGGAUGUACUUCUCCACCCCAGACAGAGAUAGCGAC